GCGUAUAGUAAAGUAUAGCAAGGGGCAGGGAAACAGAAGUGACGGUGAGGAGCGAUGUCAGUGUGAGGAGGAAGGAAGCAGGAAGGAGAGGGUAAAGCAUAACAUAGCCAUGUGUACUACAGUAUAGCAAGGGGUGGGAAAGAGAACUGAAGGUGAGUGGAAGGGAAAGUAGGAGGGGAGAGGGCGCCACAGCAUCAUAAAUUAAGGUUUUCUUUCCCGCCAUGGACGUCGAGCAGGCUCCACGUUUGGAACGCCAGCGUGCGCUUGACCGUGAACGCGAGCGUCGCUGAAGCGCAGGCGAAUCACUGCUCCGCACUUCCUACAGCUUUCACUAAGAGUGCAACUGCAUACAUUUUUUGGCGGCCUGCGCGAAGUGGUUAUGUUUUCUGAAUAUUGCACGUGAAGUUUUCUGUUGGGAUAUUUUAUACUGCAGCUUUAAACAGAAAGAAAACUGUAUGAUUAUUUAGAGUAAGUAGUGUUGCCGAUAAAGCGCCGUGAACUGUGGAUGUGCAAGAGAACACUGAUCGAUCGUUUUCCACUCGUUUUCAGAAGCCUCGCAUGGUUGCCCCGAUGACCCGUUCGAAUGCUUCGUCUUCUGCAAAAGCUUGGGACACGAGUUCUCUUUUUGCGUGGGAGUUCGCCAGCACCUGUGCUUGUGCAACACUAACACACCGGUAGACGGCUUUCGCUGAGACCCGAGAGAGCGCCUGUGCAGGCGCUACUCCUCUGCUGCAACCCCUGUCUUAGCAUCGCUGUUUGCCGGCAAGCAUGAAGAUGAUCAUCUUUACCAUUACCCUCCUAAUAAUUUCAGACUACGUGUGGCCUUGCGACGCCACAGGUUCCACUAUCUGCUCACGCGCUUUCAUGGUCAUCCGUAAAAGCUUCGGCUGCCCAUUUGGGUCCAACGAAUGUUCCAAGUACUGCAAGGAAAAGAAGGCCCAGAAAGGAGGAUACUGCACUGGGAGAUUCAAAGAAAACUGCGUCUGCUUUCGGAACUGAAUUUAACAGUAACGUUUCUUUGACACCAAGGCAUUUCUAUGCCUGCGCGUUGACAAACUGAGCGAAAUACAGCCGGUCGUACAGAA